rnacentral:rRNA from 1 species
UAGGGAAUCUUCGGCAAUGGGGGGAACCCUGACCGAGCAACGCCGCGUGAGUGAAGAAGGUUUUCGGAUCGUAAAGCUCUGUUGUUAAGGAAGAACGAGUGUGAGAAUGGAAAGUUCAUGCUGUGACGGUACUUAACCAGAAAGGGACGGCUAACUACGUGCCAGCAGCCGCGGUAAUACGUAGGUCCCGAGCGUUGUCCGGAUUUAUUGGGCGUAAAGCGAGCGCAGGCGGUUAGAAAAGUCUGAAGUGAAAAUGCAGGGCUCAACUCUGUAUUGCGUUGGAAACUGUAUAACUAGAGUACGGGAGAGGUAAGCGGAACUACAAGUGUAGAGAUGAAAUUCGUAGAUAUUUGUAGGAAUGCCGAUGGGGAAGCCAGCUUACUGGACAGAUACUGACGCUGAAGCGCGAAAGCGUGGGUAGCAAACAGG